rnacentral:lncRNA from 1 species
UGGGAUAAAACGCGGAUGCGGACGGACGGACGGACACGCGGACGGACACGCGGACGGACGGACGGACGGACGAAAAGGAUAAAAUGCGGAUGCGGACAAAAAGGAUAAAAUGCGGAUGCGGACAAAAGGGAUAAAAUGCGGAUGCGGACAAAAGGGAUAAAAUGCGGAUGNNNNNNNNNNNNNNNNNNNNUGGGUUGGGAUAAAACGCGGAUGCGGACAGACGGACGGACACGCGGACGGACGGACGGACGAAAAGGAUAAAAUGCGGAUGCGGACAAAAAGGAUAAAAUGCGGAUGCGGACAAAAGGGAUAAAAUGCGGAUGCGGACAAAAGGGAUAAAAUGCGGAUGCGGACAAAAAGGAUAAAAUGCGGAUGCGGACAAAAAGUCUUACCCGCGAUAUAUUUUACGGAAAUCCCAACGCAAAAAUAUAUACAACCGGUAAUACGAAUGUAAUAAUAAUGUAGUUAUGCAAGGCGGAGGCUUUGCAGUUAAUAAUUGCUCCAGGUAUGAACCAUGCUGAAUAGUCAAAUUAGCAAACUAAAGAGUAAAUAAUUCAUUGACCGAUGACAAAUAGUGA